rnacentral:lncRNA from 1 species
CAAGAAGAGUUUUGACUCUAAAGUGUUCUUUGCUAGAGGCCAUUUCCCAUUUCUUCAGAGGCAUAUUGAUCUUAUCCAGAACUGUGGUUAGAAUGAAGCCAUAUGGAUUAGCAUGAGACUUGGAACCAUUUAUGACCAUGUCUAGCAAUUUAACUAUGAGUGCAUGCCAGUUCAUUUGCUUUCCCCUUUCAAGGCAUUUCAUAAGCACCAGAUCCAUGUAAUUGGCAGUGUGCCUUCUCUCCUAUCUUGGCAAUAAGCAUUUGUUUACAAACUCAAACACCAGUUUCUGUUGAGUCCUCAUCUCACUCUUCUGCACGGCUCUGGCUUCAUUUACAUCCUCAUAAUCACAGAAUCUUUUGGUGAUUUCAAUAGCAGUGGGGAGGGAGUCCAGACAUAGGCACCUUUGUCUAGUAUAGUCAUCAAACCCUUCAGAGGGUAUGUCCAGAGUCUCUCCCAGUUUCACAACAUCAAACUGCACUUGAACUCCCUUCACCUAGCUACUGACAACUCCAUCCACAACAACAACAUUUGCCAUAAAUUCAAUCAACUCAUUUCUAGCUACCUUCCUUCCAUCUGAAGGACCAUGUCCUUCCAUCCCUGAGUAGCCAAACAACCUACUAAUCUCAUCAUCCCUGGUUCCACCAGGUCCUUCAGCAGUCUUCCCUCCAAGAUUUUCCUUCUACCAAAAAUGGCAAGCUCGUUUUGUUCCUCUUCAUAUUCUUCUUCUUCUCUGGUGAAGUCAUCAUCAUCAUCAGAAACUUUUGUUUGUUUAGCUUUCACUGCAGAUCUUGUUUAGGUUCCCAAAUUUUUAGAAGCUCCGACUUUUUC